GAUGAACGCUAGCGGCGGGCCUAACACAUGCAAGUCGAACGCACUAGCAAUAGUGAGUGGCGCACGGGUGCGUAACACGUGGGUAAUCAACCCUUCAGCUUGGGAUAACGACUUGAAAGGGUCGCUAAUACCGGAUACGGCGCGGGAGGCUUCGGCUUCUCACGAGAAAGCCUCGCAAGGGGCACUGAAGGACGAGCCUGCGGCCCAUCAGCUAGUUGGUGAGGUAAGAGCUCACCAAGGCGAAGACGGGUAGCUGGUCUGAGAGGAUGAUCAGCCACACUGGAACUGAGACACGGUCCAGACUCCUACGGGAGGCAGCAGUGGGGAAUAUUGCGCAAUGGGCGAAAGCCUGACGCAGCCACGCCGCGUGAGCGAUGAAGGCCUUCGGGUCGUAAAGCUCUGUGGGGAGA
rnacentral:rRNA from 1 species